GAUGAACGCUAGCGGCAGGCCUAAUACAUGCAAGUCGAACGAUAGUGAGAAGCUUGCUUCUCACGAAAGUGGCGCACGGGUGCGUAACGCGUAUGCAACCUACCUUAAUCAGGGGGAUAGCCCGAAGAAAUACGGAUUAACACCGCAUAAAAUCACAGUACAGCAUUAUACAAUGAUCAAAUAUUUAUAGGAUUAAGAUGGGCAUGCGUGACAUUAGUUAGUUGGCGGGGUAACGGCCCACCAAGACCACGAUGUCUAGGUGAUCUGAGAGGAUGACCCCCCACACUGGUACUGAGACACGGACCAGGCUCCUAGGGGAGGCAGCAGUAAGGAAUAUUAGUCAAUGGAGGCAACGCUGAACCAGCCAUGCCGCGUGCAGGAAGACAGCCCUCUGGGUCGUAAACUGCUUUUAUUCGGGAAUAAACCUAUCUACGUGUAGAUAGCUGAAUGUACCGAAGGAAUAAGGAUCGGCUAACUCCGUGCCAGCCGCCGCCGUAA
rnacentral:rRNA from 1 species